GUUUCCAAAUAAAAACAUAAUACUUAUAAACCUUUCUUCAUUCCCUUCAUCUCUGGUUUUCGGUGGUUCUUCAUUUUCUUCAUCGUUUCUUCAUCGCCUCUUCAUUGCUUCCAACUGAAUUUGAUUCAUCGCUGGUUCAUCGUUUAUUCGGUAUGAUUCAACCUUUCUCUUCUCUUUGUGGAUUAUCACAUCUCUCUCAAUCUCUGAAUCUUGCUAAAGUGGGAGGAUGA